GAAGAUGGUAUCUAAUUUACUGGUUCUUCGUGUGCUAACGUUGAAUGUUGCUAUAGUUCAGUGCUUCUCAAAGCGGUAACAUCAGCAUCAUGCGGGAAUUUGGUUAACAAGAAGCCAAGUUCUCGGGCAAUAACCCCAAGCUAGGGACUCAGAAAUCCUGGGCCAGGGGGCCCAGCCUGCCGUGUGUCAACAAACCUUCCAGGGGUUGAGAAGGAGAGCCUGAGCGUGUUGAAUAGUACAGUGCAGGGCCUGGGAUAAUACACGUUCUGCUCUCUGCGAUGAUCUGGUGUCAGGCAGUGACUCCUACUCCACAGGGCUUUGGAAAUCUGUAAUAGCAGAUCCUGCCUGGAAUGUUCCUUCUGAGAUGCAGAGAUCAGCUCUAUCCACAAAAAGGGUAGAACAGGUGUGUCGCAGGGGCCAGAUGCGGAGAUGAGAAGCCCUUUGUCAAGGAAUCCUCUGCAGUUGAUGGUGGCUCCCAGUGGGGGCUGUGGCCAGGACACCUGCAGGGGACCCUUCUGGAUGGCUGCUUGGACGUCCUCACAACAUGGUGCCUGGG